CCUACGGGAGGCAGCAGUGAGGAAUAUUGGUCAAUGGGCGCGAGCCUGAACCAGCCAAGUCGCGUGAGGGAUGACGGCCCUACGGGUUGUAAACCUCUUUUGCCGGGGAGCAACGGGCGCCACGUGUGGCGCCACUGAGAGUACCCGGAGAAAAAGCAUCGGCUAACUCCGUGCCAGCAGCCGCGGUAAUACGGAGGAUGCGAGCGUUAUCCGGAUUUAUUGGGUUUAAAGGGUGUGCAGGCGGCGUGUCAAGUCAGCGGUAAAAUGUCGGGGCUCAACCCCGGCCGGCCGUUGAAACUGGCGUGCUCGAGUGGGAGAGAAGUAUGCGGAAUUCGUGGUGUAGCGGUGAAAUGCAUAGAUAUCACGAAGAACCCCGAUUGCGAAGGCAGCAUACCGGCUCCACACUGACGCUGAGGCACGAAAGCGUGGGUAUCGAACAGGAUUAGAUACCCCGGUAGUC
rnacentral:rRNA from 1 species